GAGGAAAGUCCGGGCUCCACAGGGCAGGGCGGUGGGUAACACCCACCCGGGGUGACCCGCGGGACAGUGCCACAGAAAACAGACCGCCGGUGCCGGUCCCGGCGCCGGUAAGGGUGAAACGGUGCGGUAAGAGCGCACCAGCGCCCAGGGUGACCUGGGCGGCUCGGUAAACCCCGCCCGGAGCAAGGUCAGAAGGCCCGUGGCCGUCACAGGUCGCGGACCGCGCAGGCGUUCGAGGGCUGCCCGCCCGAGCCUGCGGGUGGACCGCUGGAGGCUGCCGGCAACGGCAGCCCGAGAGAGAUGGUCGCC
rnacentral:misc_RNA from 1 species